rnacentral:rRNA from 1 species
GUGGGGAAUUUUGGACAAUGGGGGCAACCCUGAUCCAGCCAUGCCGCGUGUGUGAAGAAGGCCUUCGGGUUGUAAAGCACUUUCGGACGGAACGAAAUCGCACGGGUGAAUAUCCCGUGUGGAUGACGGUACUGUAAGAAGAAGCACCGGCUAACUACGUGCCAGCAGCCGCGGUAAUACGUAGGGUGCGAGCGUUAAUCGGAAUUACUGGGCGUAAAGCGUGCGCAGGCGGCUUCGCAAGUCAGACGUGAAAUCCCCGGGCUUAACCUGGGAAUGGCGUUUGAAACUACGGAGCUGGAGUGUGGCAGAGGGGGGUAGAAUUCCACGUGUAGCGGUGAAAUGCGUAGAUAUGUGGAGGAAUACCGAUGGCGAAGGCAGCCCCCUGGGCCAACACUGACGCUCAUGCACGAAAGCGUGGGGAGCAAACAGGAUUAGAUACCCGUGUAGUCC